rnacentral:tRNA from 2 species
GCUUGAGUAGCUCAGUGGUAGUAGCGGUGGACUGUUAAUCCAUGUGUCGAUGGUUCGAUCCCAUCCUCAAGCGCCA